UACGAAGGAUGCGAGCGUUAUCCGGAUUUAUUGGGUUUAAAGGGAGCGUAGGCGGUCUUAUAAGUCAGUGGUGAAAUCUCGAUGCUUAACAUCGAACGUGCCAUUGAUACUGUAGGACUUGAGUACAGUUGCCGUUGGCGGAAUGUGUCAUGUAGCGGUGAAAUGCAUAGAUAUGACACAGAACACCGAUUGCGAAGGCAGCUGACGAAACUGUAACUGACGCUGAGGCUCGAAAGCGUGGGUAGCAAACAGG
rnacentral:rRNA from 1 species